rnacentral:rRNA from 1 species
AGUGGAUGGGGAGCAACCUAGUUGUGCGUGUGUAAAGGUAGUGCCAAGAAAAGCGAUGAUCAUGUUGAAAAUCAAUUCCCGGUACCCGAAACCGACACAGGUGGGCAAGUAGAGAAUACUAAGGGGCGCGAGGUAACUCUCUCCAAGGAACUCGGCAAAAUGACCCCGUAACUUAGGGAGAAGGGGUGCCACCGAGAGGUGGUCGCAGUGAAGAGGCCCAGGCGACUGUUUAGCAAAAACAUAGGUCUCUGCAAACUCGAAAGAGGAGGUAUAGGGGCUGACGCCUGCCCAGUGCCGGAAGGUUAAAGAAGUUGGUCAGUUUUAGGAUGAAGCUAGCGACUGAAGCCCCGGUGAACGGCGGCCGUAACUAUAACGGUCCUAAGGUAGCGAAAUUCCUUGUCGGGUAAGUUCCGACCCGCACGAAAGGCGUAACGAUCUGGGCGCUGUCUCGGAGAGAGGCUCGGCGAAAUAGGAUUGUCUGUGAAGAUACGGACUACCUGCAUUUGGACAGAAAGACCCUAUGAAGCUUUACUAUAGCUUGGAAUUGUGUUCGGGCUUCCUGUGCGCAGGAUAGGUGGGAGGCGUAGAAGGUAUUCUUGUGGGGAUACUGGAGCCAACGGUGAGAUACCACUCUCAGGAGGCUAGAAUUCUAACUUAAUUAAGGACAGUUUCAGGUGGGUAGUUUGACUGGGGCGGUCGCCUCCAAAAAGGUAACGGAGGCGUACAAAGGUUCCCUCAGACUGGUUGGAAAUCAGUCGAAGAGUGCAAAGGCAGAAGGGAGCUUGACUGCGAGAAGUACAGUUCGAGCAGGGUGGAAACACGGUCUUAGUGAUCCGACGGUGCUGUGUGGAAGGGCCGUCGCUCAACGGAUAAAAGUUACUCUAGGAUAACAGGCUGAUCUCCCCCAAGAGUUCACAUCGACGGGGAGGUUUGGCACCUCGAUGUCGGCUCAUCGCAACCUGGGGCGGAAGUACGUCCCAAGGGUUGGGCUGUUCGCCCAUUAAAGCGGUACGUGAGCUGGGUUCAGAACGUCGUGAGACAGUUCGGUCCAUAUCCGAUGUAGGCGUGAGAAUAUUGAGAGGAGCCUUCCUUAGUACGAGAAGACCGGGAAGGACGCACCGCUGGUGUACCUGUUAUGAUGCCAAUUGUAAACGCAGGGUAGCCAAGUGCGGAGAGGAUAACCGCUGAAAGCAUCUAAGUGGGAAGCCCACCUCAAGAUGAGUAUUCUGGUGUAAGGUCACGGGAAGACGACCCGUAAAUAGGCACGAGGUGGAAGUGCAGAGAUGUAUGAAGCCGAAGUGUACUAAUAGACCGUCGGCUUGACC